rnacentral:rRNA from 1 species
GGAAUCUUCCGCAAUGGACGAAAGUCUGACGGAGCAACGCCGCGUGAGUGAUGAAGGUUUUCGGAUCGUAAAACUCUGUUAUUAGGGAAGAACAAAUGUUUAAGUAACUGUGCACAUCUUGACGGUACCUAAUCAGACAGCCACCGCUAACUACGUGCCAGCAGCCGCGGUAAUACGUAGGUGGCAAGCGUUAUCCGGAAUUAUUGGGCGUAAAGCGCGCGUAGGCGGUUUCUUAAGUCUGAUGUGAAAGCCCACGGCUCAACCGUGGAGGGUCAUUGGAAACUGGGAAACUUGAGUACAGAAGAGGAAAGUGGAAUUCCAUGUGUAGCGGUGAAAUGCGCAGAGAUAUGGAGGAACACCAGUGGCGAAGGCGACUUUCUGGUCUGUAACUGACGCUGAUGUGCGAAAGCGUGGGGAUCAAACA